rnacentral:rRNA from 1 species
GUGGGGAAUCUUGCGCAAUGGGCGAAAGCCUGACGCAGCCAUGCCGCGUGAAUGAUGAAGGUCUUAGGAUUGUAAAAUUCUUUCACCGGGGACGAUAAUGACGGUACCCGGAGAAGAAGCUCCGGCUAACUUCGUGCCAGCAGCCGCGGUAAUACGAAGGGGGCUAGCGUUGCUCGGAAUUACUGGGCGUAAAGGGCGCGUAGGCGGACAGCUUAGUCAGAGGUGAAAGCCCAGGGCUCAACCUUGGAAUUGCCUUUGAUACUGGCUGUCUUGAGUUUGUGAGAGGUGAGUGGAACUCCGAGUGUAGAGGUGAAAUUCGUAGAUAUUCGGAAGAACACCAGUGGCGAAGGCGACUCACUGGCCCAAUACUGACGCUGAGGCGCGAAAGCGUGGGGAGCAAACAGGAUUAGAAACCCGUGUAGUCC